GAUGAAGAACGUAGCGAAAUGCGAUACGUAGUGUGAAUUGCAGAAUUCAGUGAAUCAUCCAAUCUUUGAACGCACAUUGCACCUCUCGGUAUUCCGGGAGGUAUGCCUGUUCGAGCGUCAUUUGUACCCUCAAGCUCUGCUUGGUGUUGGGUGUUUGUUCCGCCUCUGUGUGUGAACUCGCCUCAAAACAAUUGGCAGCCGGCGUACUUGUUUCGGAGCGCAGCACAUUUUGCGAUCCAGAUCAACGUACAGCGGCAUCCAAGAAGCCUUAUUUAACGCUCUUGACCUCGGAUCAGGUAGGGAUACCCGCUGAACUUAAGCAUAUCAAUAAGCGGAGGA
rnacentral:misc_RNA from 1 species